AGGUGUAUGUGGCAUUUGAGAGGAGUCUUUAAGUGAAUCUUGGAUUAGUAUUCCAUUAAAGCAAGUGUUGGUAUAUCCUUACUAUAUUCGAGGACAUUAUGAUGUUUAGAUUUCCUUAUUUGAAUGAUGUCAAGGGGCUUCUACAAGACCUCCGAGAGAUCAAACGCUUAUAACCAGGUCAGCACGCAACGCUUCAUUGAUCCAGUUUGAGCUCCACAGUCAUUGGUGAUCCUCUUGUAUUUCGAAGGAUUCUUUUAUUGCUUUCUAGUUAGCUCAAUAGAAUGUCGUGGGGUUUGUCCCAACAUUUAUCUCAGUCAAUUUAGAGGCUUCAUAGACAGAUAGUUAGUUAGAUUGUUUAGUUUGAUGUCUCUUUUAUCUUACAUUUUAGAUGCUCUAGCAUUGAUACUCAAGUGCCAUUUUGGCUAGAUUAUUAUAUUUUAAGU